GAUGAACGCUGGCGGCGUGCCUAAUACAUGCAAGUCGAGCGAAUGACGAGGAGCUUGCUCCUCUGAUUUAGCGGCGGACGGGUGAGUAACACGUGGGUAAUCUGCCUGUAAGACGGGGAUAACUCCGGGAAACCGGGGCUAAUACCGGAUAACAAAAGGAGAUGCAUAUCUUCUUUUUGAAAGUCGGUUUCGGCUGACACUUACAGAUGAGCCCGCGGCGCAUUAGCUAGUUGGUGAGGUAACGGCUCACCAAGGCGACGAUGCGUAGCCGACCUGAGAGGGUGAUCGGACACACUGGGACUGAGACACGGCCCAGACUCCUACGGGAGUCAGCAGUAGGGAAUCUUCGGCAAUGGGCGAAAGCCUGACCGAGCAACGCCGCGUGAGCGAUGAAGGCCUUCGGGUCGUAAAGCUCUGUUGUUAGAGAAGAACAAGUACGAGAGUAACUGCUCGUACCUUGACGGUACCUAACCAGAAAGCCACGGCUAACUACGUGCCAGCAGCCGCAGUAACAC
rnacentral:rRNA from 1 species